UUGGUGCUCACCAUGCUGGUUUACGACUACUUUGCGCGGACACCCUCUUUUCUUGGUAACUAAAGUGCCCGUUUCUGAGUGGGUUGAGCGGUUACGAGGGGUUUUAAUUACCGUGACCAUGGCAACAACAGGUGCCAAACCGUCCGCGGCCGUGUAUAAUUACGAUUAUACUUAAAAAUCAUGAGGGGUAAAGAAGUGAUCGAUUCGGGGAGAAUUAACGACAACCCACAACAACCUUUUGCACAGAUGGAAAAUAGUGUGACCCUCCUGAAGCAGAUCAUCAAAUAUUUUUCGAUUAUCACCUAGGUCGGUGUUUCCAUUUGCUAUGAGUUGAUUUGUUGAAAGCUGCACGCCAGCAGACAGCAUUUUCCUCCCUCUCUCUCACUGUCUCUUCCAGGAGACGAAUUAACGGCAGGGGUGCUCGCUCGGUCAGACGCUUAACAAACGAAGUCGCUAUGUGUACCGUUGUCAAGGAGAAGCGGCGUUGGCGGCAUGGUGCUCACAGUGCAGGGGUGCGGGGUUCGAUGCCGGCUACGGCCUUCCUGUGUGGAGUGGGGCAUGUUCUCCCUGUGCCUGUGUGGCUUUUCUUCCGUACUCCGCUUUCCUCCCACAUUCCAAAAACAAAAA